GACGAACGCUGGCGGCGUGCUUAACACAUGCAAGUCGAACGGAAAGGCCCUGCUUUUGUGGGGUGCUCGAGUGGCGAACGGGUGAGUAACACGUGAGUAACCUGCCCUUGACUUUUGGAUAACUUCAGGAAACUGGGGCUAAUACCGGAUAGGAGCUCCUGCUGCAUGGUGGGGGUUGGAAAGUUUCGGCGGUUGGGGAUGGACUCGCGGGUUAUCAGCUUGUUGGUGGGGUAGUGGCUUACCAAGGCUUUGACGGGUAGCCCGCCUGGGAGGGGGACCGGCGCCAUGGGGACUGAGAGAGGGAGCAGACGCCUACGGGAGGCAGCAGGGGGGAAUAUUGCACAAUGGGCGGAAGCCUGAUGCAGCAACGCCGCGUGCGGGAUGACGGCUUUCGGGUUGUAAACCGCUUUGGCCUGUGACGAAGCGUGAGUGACGGUAAUGGGUAAAGAAGCACCGGCUAACUACGUG
rnacentral:rRNA from 1 species